rnacentral:rRNA from 1 species
UCGAGAAUUUUUCUCAAUGGGGGAAACCCUGAAGGAGCGACGCCGCGUGGGGGAUGAAUGGCUUCGGCCCGUAAACCCCUGUCAUUUGCGAACAAACCUUUCGUGUGAAUAGCACGGGAGCUGAUUGUAGCAGAAGAGGAAGGGACGGCUAACUCUGUGCCAGCAGCCGCGGUAAUACAGAGGUCCCAAGCGUUGUUCGGAUUCACUGGGCGUAAAGGGUGCGUAGGUGGUGAGGUAAGUUUGACGUGAA